AUUUGUAGAUGAUAUAUACAUGAAUGUUAUGUUUCAAGCUCAUCAGAUGUAGUUUCUUUCAUGCUCUUUUUAAGGCAGAUAUGUUUAUAAUAUAUGUGUAGCAGAUGGUGAGGUGAAAACCUGAUCCACUGACUUGUGGCUCUGGAUGCAUUAUAGAGGACCAGAGGAAGAUGAAGGCAACUUUGAUGUCUCAUUCAGCCGUCCGUUUGAUGUCACUCCGUUAUCCAGGAGCAAAGAUGGAUUCGCUGACCUGCAAUCCAUUUCUGAGAACCGAGGCUUUAAGCAGUCGAGGUUGUGUGGAGGGUAAAGCCAAGGUUUUCUUUCCGCUUUUAUUGGAUGGCAGAUCCAAUUAAUCCCCGGGGAGAUGGUACGAAAGAAGCUUCAGCCGACAGAAAGAUGAAGCUUGUUUUACCUCCGAUCACGGCAAACUGAAACAUUUGUCUCCUGAGCACUCGUCCUCUUCUCUGGUGUGAAACCGCCUCUCUCGUGUUCUUCUGCAGAGCCGGUUUCAUCCCGGGUGACAGAAUCCGCUUCGACAGACGAAGGCUUUUAAACACUGCUGAAAAAUGACUCCGCACGGCAGGUGUUUGCUGUUUGUUUUCAAUUCCCAUUAGUCUCUUCAGGUAAGAGUCCUUCCUCCAGACGGCGUGGAGAGACUGCUGUAGAUGCUCAAGACUUCUGCAUAUGAUGUGCAACUCAAACUGGAGAGAAGGGUGAUUUCAACAUAAAUACAAAGCAGUUUAGUGCUUUCCUCAAAAUCAUAGCCACUUUAUUUAGAAUUGGAUAAAUUAUUUUUAUUUUAUUUUAUUUAUUUAUUUUUUUUUUGGGGG
ensembl:lncRNA